rnacentral:tRNA from 1 species
GUUGGCGAGGCAUAGUGGCAAGUGCCCAGGCCUUGGGAGUCAGAGGACCUGGGUUCCAAUUCCAGCUCCACCA